UCUUGGGCGAAAGGCGUACCAGUAGCUCCGAAAGCGAGGUGGUAUCACGGUGAAAAGGCAGGAGCUGGGCGGUAUUGAUUAAACGUCAGUGAGUCGUCAUAAAGACGUCAAAGCCACGAAUAUCACCAGGACAACAUCCUGUGACCGAAUUUACGACUUCCGAGCAACAGGUUGCUUCCCGUCUUAUUCGGCGGCUGCGCAUGGCGACCGUGCCGCUCAUUGUCAAAGUGAUUUUCAGAAUUAACGGAGAUACAGAAACACUAGACAAAAAGUUGAGUCUGAGCGAUGACGAAUAAAAAACUAUGAGACCGAAUAUACAAUAACUUAUAUUACAUCCAUCAGCGAAUUUCUUUUGGGCCUCCAUCGCAGUCUAUACGCGGCAUUCCCAGCACAUGUACGUACAGCUGAAUUCCACCUGUUGCUUCGAGGGUCGUAAAUCUGCCUGGUAGAUGCAACCCUGAUAGGUUUGUCUCAGAAUGACGUCAGUGACAAAUUUCUGACGGACGUCUGACAACCCGAGACAGCGAGAGGUUGACGAAUUCAACGUCGACUCGGAGAAGAUCAUGAGAAAGGUCAAAGAGGUCAGGAGAAUUACACUGAAUCGUAUCAAAGUGUUAUAAACACUGCAGAACAGGUACGCACUUGCGCUAUCUGCACAUCCUGCAUUCAUCCACCUCACCGGUAUUGCUAUCCUAGUAUAAAACCGAGUCCCAGUGACGUCACGCACGGCUGAAGAGUCGCGCCGAUCAUUGAUCUGCACGCGGUUGAACACUGUGAAUACACUGGAUAUGUCCCUUGCUGCCGGGAAAAAGGAUGAAUGCGCCUGAUCAAGGAAUAAUGUUUAAUUGAGAGUUUUUUGCUAACUGAUGUGAUUAACCAAGCGGAAGUUUUGACAGCGGGAAAGACAAUAUAGUACAUGAGAUCGAUCAUGAAACGUCCGUUACGCGAUUGUACAAUAUUUUUAAAGCGAAUGGAACGAACAACCCAUGAACGACGAUUGUAACUUUUAUCACUUUGAAACCGCAAGUAUACCUGAUACAUCGUCCAACUGUCAGCCGAAAAUAUUACACUGGUCAAGAAAAUUUUGUAAUAAGGAAGGUGCUUACUAAUUUUGAAAUACUUAUCUACUCUUAUUAUAAAACAAUAUUCAUUUUUAUUCGAUCAGAUCUAGUUUUUGUAUUACAGGUACUAUCAGUAAAGUUGAAUGUUUAGCGUUUUGCCUAACCUUUCUUUGGUCCUGGGUGUUUUGUUACUUACUAUAAAUACCAGUUAAUCAGUUACAAUAAAUAACAAAACACCCUGACUAAACAAGGAUAAGACAAAAAGAUAAACAUUCAAUUUUACUCUUAGUAGCUGUAACACAAAAACUAGACCCGAUCGAAUCAAAAUAAAUAUGGUUUUAUAAUAAGGGCAGAUAGGUAUUUCAAAAUUAGUAAGCACCUUCCUCGUUACAAAAUUUUCUUGACCAGUGUACUGUUACACUAUACAUAACCUAAUUUUUGUUCAUAAAAACUGCAUUAUUGUCAAAACUAAAAAUAUCAUAUUACAAUAAAACUAUUCGUAUCUAAAAUAUUUUAAUAUCAAUUCUGUUAUAACUAAACCUUGUUCCUAACAUAAUCAGUUAAAAGUUUUCAUAUUACACA